rnacentral:rRNA from 1 species
AACGAACGCUGGCGGCAUGCCUAACACAUGCAAGUCGAACGAGACCUUCGGGUCUAGUGGCGCACGGGUGCGUAACGCGUGGGAACCUGCCCGUAGGUUCGGAAUAACUCCCCGAAAGGGGUGCUAAUACCGGAUAAUGUCUUCGGACCAAAGAUUUAUCGCCUUUGGAUGGGCCCGCGUUGGAUUAGCUAGUUGGUAGGGUAAAAGCCGACCAAGGCGACGAUCCAUAGCUGGUCUGAGAGGAUGAUCAGCCACACUGGGACUGAGACACGGCCCAGACUCCUACGGGAGGCAGCAGUGGGGAAUAUUGGACAAUGGGCGAAAGCCUGAUCCAGCCAUGCCGCGUGAGUGAUGAAGGCCUUAGGGUUGUAAAGCUCUUUUAGCCGGGAUGAUAAUGACAGUACCGGGAGAAUAAGCUCCGGCUAACUCCGUG